UACGGGGGGAGCAAGCGUUGUUCGGAUUUACUGGGCGUAAAGGGCGCGUAGGCGGCCAGCGCAAGUCAGUUGUGAAAUCUCCGGGCUUAACUCGGAGCGGUCAACUGAUACUGCGCGGCUAGAGUGCAGAAGGGGCAACUGGAAUUCUCGGUGUAGCGGUGAAAUGCGUAGAUAUCGAGAGGAACACCUGCGGCGAAGGCGGGUUGCUGGGCUGACACUGACGCUGAUGCGCGAAAGCCAGGGGAGCGAACGGG
rnacentral:rRNA from 1 species